CGAGUAGCUAGGACUACAGGCAUGUGCCACCACGCUCAGCUACUUUUGUUUUUUGUUUGUUUGUUUGUUUGUUUUAGUAGAGAUGGGGUUUCACUUUGUUGGUUAGGCUGGUCUUGAACCCCUGACCUCAGGUGAUCCGCCCACCUAGGCCCCCCAAAGUAUUGGGAUUACAGGAGUGAACCACUGCGCCCGGCCUCGAAUGUGAGUGCGUUAAAACCCAGAUCGGGUCUGAUUGGGGUUGGCACCCAGGUGGCUCCAUAAUUGUUGCUGUCCUGAAUUAUUGCCCUCUUUGCUACUUGGACCGAACCCCAUCUUGGGACCACCGACUUCCUCUGACUCCUGGUCAGGCUCCUGGGCGGCAAAUCCUGGCCCCUGGUAUGGUCCCGCCUGCCUCUCUGUCCCCUUGUCUACCUGACCAGACCUCUGAACUUCAAGGCCUGGAUGCCCUGUCUCUCCUCCUGUGAGGCUCUGUCCUACCUCAUGUUGGGACCUAGGGCGCUCUGUUGUACAACUCCAGGGAGCACCAUUGUGUCUUCUGUAAAUGGCAGCUCCUGGAACACAGUGAGCCCUCAAUAGGGCAUGUCAGCUGUGGGCUCAGACAUCCUUUGGGUCUGGCAGUGCUCCAUUUCAUGUGCCCUGUCACCCUCACCCCUCUUUUUCCAUCCCACUUCUCCUAGCUGGACCAAGCUAGGCGUCAUCUACAAGCCCGGUGUGCUGACCAGGGAAUGUGUGGGGCUUGGGGCAUGGGGACAAUAAAUAACAUCACUUUUCUCAUUUCCCAGGCAGGUAACCAAUUGAAAGAUAAGAUACCAUAGACAGACAUCAACUUUAUUCCUGACUAAAGCUCAAAAGAAGGGCGUGGCGUAGAUUUACAGUGACCAUCCUAACACUCACGCGCAGAGUCACACGGUCCCACACUGGGCUGGACCAGCCCUGCUAAGCCCACAAGAGGUGGGGAGAACAGCAGCCGCUUCCUCUUUGUGGGGCCCAGGCCUGAGCUUCCCUCCGUUCCUGCCCCGGAUCUGACCACUGGGAUUGUGGGAGAGGGUGUCAAAGGACAGUUUUCUCCCAUAGUUUUCCCUUCCAGGGAGAAGAGUGGAAAUCCCCUCAUCUCAAAGGCAACAUGAGAUUGGAGAAUGUACUCUCAAAUCCCCAAACAGCAACAGAAUUGUUCUGCUUGCUUCAGAGCAGAGGCUCCGCAGCCCUUUCCAGACCUCUCCCAAGCGUGGAAAUGGACGAAGGGCUGGAUGGGGCUCAGAGGGGAGGUCAGGCGGGACUCCCUCAGACAGCAGCUGGGGUUCCUCUGUUCCAGGCCCAGCUCUCACUGAAACAGGAGAGGGUGUGAAGGAAUGGAUUUGGAACUGUCAAGAACUCCUUCCUUAGUGGGCAGUGGAGGUAAUGCAGGGUUCAGACCAUCUGUGCCCUGGACAGAGGCCUCUUUCUUCCCCAGGAAUGCUAAGCACAUGGGCAUCCUGAUACCUCAACUCCUCCAGUCCCAAAUACUCUGCCUGUUUGUCCCCUUUGUCCUGAGCCACCCCGUAGGACCUGCAGGUCAGGCACUGACUUCAUGUCAGGUCCCCGAAGCAGUUUUGUUCUCUCAGCAGUGUCCACUGGCCUGCAGCCAGGCACCUCUCUCCCCCAGCCUGGGUCACUGGCAAGGGAGCAAGAAGAGUUCUGGGCUCACAGCAGGCAGUGGAGUGUAGUCACAGAGCCUGAUCCGGCUUGAAAUCCCAGAUCCUUUGCUUACUAGGCUGUGUGGCCUUAGGUGAGUUACUUAAUCUCUCCGUGCUUCAGUUUCUGCAUAUGUAAAACAGGGAUAAUAUCUAGCUCACUGGGUUAUGAUGAGACGUAAGUAACUUCAUACAAACCCCUUAGGACUGAUGCCUGGGCAUUUCUAAGUACUCAGUGAAGGCAAGCUGCUGUUUUUAUGGGCCCAGGUCUAGGAAAAAAGAAUCAAACAGCCAGGGGAAAGGGGAUGCUCUCCACUGUAUAUUAAGUUCUAUCAUAGGGACCAUUUUAGCUAAACACAGAAAAACAGAGGAGGGGGCUGGGUGUGGUGGCUCAUGCCUGUAAUCCCAGACCUUAGGAGGCUGGAUUGCUUGAGCCCAGGAGUUCGAGACCAGCCUGGGCAAUAAAGUGAGACCCCCAUCUACAAAAGAUACAAAAUUUAGCUGGGUGUGGUGGCGCAUGCCUGUAGUUCCAGCUACUAGGGGGCAGGGUGAGGUGGGAGGGUAACUUGAGCCUGGGAGGCAGAGGUUGCAGUGAGCUGAGAUUGCAUCACUGGUCUCCAGCCUGGGCGACAGAGGGAGAUCCUAUCUCAAAAAAAAAAAAAAAAAAAAGACAGAGGAGGAACAAGGAACAAUUAUCCCCCAUUUUACAGAUCAAAAGCUGAGUGAAGCAGUGGUCCAGCUGGAAUUCAACACCUGAGAUAUCUGACUCCAGAUACCAGCCCUUCCUUGCUUCCCACUAGCUGCCUAACCCAGAGAGGAGAUUGGGAAAAGAGAAACAAGUUACAGAAUUCAAGAAUCAGUGCUUGAGACAUUUUGCAGACCCUGCACUUGAUGGAUCGGCUGGCACCACCCAGAUCAAUAAACUGGCUCAUCUGAUCUUGCAGCCUCCACCCAGGAACUGACUCAGCGCAAGAAGACAGCUUCGACUCUGUAUGAGUUCAUCUCCAACCUGACCAAUCAGCACUCCCGGCUCACUGGCUUCCCCCCAUCCACCAAGUUGUCCUUAAAACUCUGCUCCCCGAAUGCUUGGGGAGACUUAUUUGAGUAAUAAUAAAACUCUGUUCUUCUGCAC
rnacentral:lncRNA from 1 species